UGUGUGUGUGUGUGUGUGUGUGUGUGUGUGUGUGUGUGUGUGUGUGUGUGUGUGUGUGUGUGUGUGUGUGUGUGCAGGCACUAAAGAUGGCACUGAUCCCAUACUGGGUUGAUCACCUGAUACUAGUAAGAAAUGGAGAUCAGAUCAGAGAGAAAA